AUUGAACGCUGGCGGCAUGCCUUACACAUGCAAGUCGAACGGCAGCACGGGUGCUUGCACCUGGUGGCGAGUGGCGAACGGGUGAGCAAUACAUCGGAACAUGUCCUAUAGUGGGGGAUAGCCCGGCGAAAGCCGGAUUAAUACCGCAUACGAUCUACGGAUGAAAGCGGGGGACCUUCGGGCCUCGCGCUAUAGGGUUGGCCGAUGGCUGAUUAGCUAGUUGGUGGGGUAAAGGCCUACCAAGGCGACGAUCAGUAGAUGGUCUGAGAGGACGACCAGCCACACUGGGACUGAGACACGGCCCAGACUCCUACGGGAGGCAGCAGUGGGGAAUUUUGGACAAUGGGCGAAAGCCUGAUCCAGCAAUGCCGCGUGUGUGAAGAAGGCCUUCGGGUUGUAAAGCACUUUUGUCCGGAAAGAAAUCCUUGGCUCUAAUACAGUCGGGGGAUGACGGUACCGGAAGAAUAAGCACCGGCUAACUACGUG
rnacentral:rRNA from 1 species